AACCCUGAGCGUGCUUUCGAUACGGGUUGACUUGAGGAAGGUAGGGGAGAAUGGAAUUCCCUGGUGGAGCGGUGGAAUGCGCAGAUAUCAGGAGGAACACCAGUGGCGAAGGCGGUUCUCUGGGCCUUUCCUGACGCUGAGGAGCGAAAGCGUGGGGAGCGAACAGGCUUAGAUACCCUGGUAGUCCACGCUGUAAACGGUGGGUACUAGGUGUGGGGUCCAUUCCACGGGUUCCGCGCCGUAGCUAACGCUUUAAGUACCCCGCCAGGGGAGUACGGCCGCAAGGCUAAAACUCAAAUGAAUUGACGGA
rnacentral:rRNA from 1 species